CCAGUACAUGCUGCUGUACAUGUACUGCCGGAGCUCGAGGGGAUGGGUCCCACCGGAGGCAAGUCUGCAGUACAAGCUGUACUCGCUCCCCACUGCCCAACGGCUGCAGUACGUACUGCGCUUCAGCUGCAGGAAGCCAGCCACGAGCGCGCGCGCGAGGAAGUACAAGAGGCGCGCCCGAUAAUCUCUGCCAGUACGAUCGCCAGCCAUCGAGAUCGAUAGCGUGCUGUCCGCCCGCCAUUACUCUCCCCCGUGCCGCCCUUGGAUCGCCUGACGGCCUGAGCUCCGACGAUGGAGCUUGGGAAAAGAAUAAGGAAACGCAAGGGAGCUCCUGCAGGGGCGAGCUGCGAACACAUGCGAGGAUUACCGGGCCGUGGUCGCCGCCUCGCCGGUAGGGCAUGCAUGUGUUCUCAGGUCGCCCCCGCCGGGCCCUCCUCGCUGCCGCCGACGGCUGGGAUGGACGGAGGCCUACGACGGCGACGGCGAGCCACCAGGAUUCUGCCGCGGAUAAUCAAAAGGGGAGAAUGCAGGAGCUCUGCAUGAUCAUUUAAGAAGGAAGAAGAGUGCGUAGCUUACAAGGAUGAUAUUACAUAAAACCAAACCGACUCAGACAGAAGAAAACUAAACAUCUAACUAACAAAGCUCAGGCCUACCAGGCUACCACAGGCCACAACUCGCAUAAGGAUCUUCUCUUUGAUAAGGCUGAAAACCAGGACAGGUGUGAGCUCCUUAUGCUGAAAAAUCCUUCUGUUUCUGUCAACCCAGAUGUUCCAAGCUGUAACCGUAAGAACCGCCGGCACCGAUUUUUGUUGCUUGAAAGUGAACGGGGUUAGUGUUCUUGACCACCAGACCUGAAGAUCGUGUUGCAAUGGAUGUUGGAAACCCAGACCAACCCAAUUAGACACCAAGAACCACACCUCUCUUGCAAAACUGCAGUUUAGAAUCUCCUGAUCACACAAACGGCACGUUGGAUCUCAGUCCAUUUCCUCGCGAGCAAUUUGUCUGCAGUUCAGAUCUUUGAUUGUAGGAGUAGCCAAAUGAAAAGUUUAUGCUUACCCUCGGCAUGCGCACACCAUAGGGAUCUUCCAUCAAAAGUACCAUAGGUACCUUGCAGUCACUGACGGAACUGGGGAGGAGCAUGUGGGCAGGCCGAGAUAGGAGCAAGAAGGCUCAAUAGUCCAGCUACGUAAUCGGCUGCCAGCCCCUAGCUACCUAACGUUUCGUUUCUGUUGACAUCGGAUUUUGGCCAGCAAAUCCGAUGUAAGAAGUGAUGAUCGGCUACUAGCAUGCACCUGUGACUCAGUCACAGGAAACAAAAAGGACCAAGCCGAUGAUCUUGUUCGUAUUAUGAUGACCGGAGGCCUGCAGGUAUGGCGUACGGAGUUAUUACAGAUACAUGGAGAUAAGCGCUGCAUGUGUCAUGAAGAUUAUUUGCAUGCGUACGUGCAUUGAAAACGGACGGUAGGCCGCAUGCAAGGUAACUAAAAAGAAAGAUGGUGGCCGGGUUAAUUAAAUAAGAAGAAAGGGGCAAGCCUCAAGAAAAGGCCAGUGCUACGUGCAUGCGAAAGGGAUCACGGAAGAUACAUGCAAUUAUUAUUGAUUAGUGCGGCUGAUUGUUCUUUAUAUAUGCACACAUGGGUGGAAUAAUAUUGCGCUCUGCAUGGUCUUUUGGAAGGUGGAGACAAUGGAGUUGAAAGCUGGCAUAGGCAAGGAACUUUCACGGAACGUGACUCUACGAAGAAGGAAGGAAAAUUAGAGUUCAUCUAUCUUAAUAAUUCCUUUUGUUUAGAUAUUUAGUAUUAGGCAAGUUGGGAACGUUUUCUACUAAUUAUGUACCCCUAGCCAUUGUAAUAUCUCUCAUCAAUUAAACAAAAUCUUUACUUUA